rnacentral:tRNA from 1 species
UAUGAUAUGCCUGAACAAAGGAUUAUUUUGAUAGAAUAAAUCAUACCUUUUUAAAAAUGUUUCCAUUA